rnacentral:rRNA from 1 species
UACGUAGGGUGCAAGCGUUAUCCGGAAUUACUUGGGCGUAAAGGGUGAGUAGGCGGUUGAAUAAGUCAUAUGUGAAAUCCCCGGUCUUAAGCCGGGAGUUGCAUAAGAAACUGUUUGGCUAGAGUACAGGAGAGGUAAGCGGAAUUCCUAGUGUAGCGGUGAAAUGCGUAGAUAUUAGGAAGAACACCAGUGGCGAAGGCGGCUUACUGGACUGAAACUGACGCUGAGUCACGAAAGCGUGGGGAGCAAACAGG